GGUGAACGCUGGCGGCGUGCUUAACACAUGACAGUCGAACGAGAACGGGUUAUAGCUUGCUAUAAUUGUCAGCUAAGUGGCGCACGGGUGAGUAAUGUAUAGGUAAUAUGCCUCUUACUAAGGGAUAACAAAUGGAAACGUUUGCUAAUACGUUAUACUCCUUAUUAACAUAAGUUAAUAAGGGAAAGAUUUAUUGGUAAGAGAUUAGCCUGUAUUGUAUUAGUUAGUUGGUGGGGUAAUGGCUUACCAAGGCUAUGACACAUGACUGGUUUGAGAGGAUGAUCAGUCACGCUGGAACGGAGACACGGUCCAGACUCCUGCGGGAGGCAGCAGUGGGGAAUAUUGCACAAUGGACGAAAGUCUGAUGCAGCAAUGCCGCGUGGGUGAUGACGGAUUUCGGUUCGUAAAGUCCUUUUAUCGGGGAAGAUAAUGACGGUAUUAUAUGAAGAAGCAUCGGCUAACUACGUGCCAGCAGCCGCAGUAA
rnacentral:rRNA from 1 species